GCACGGCAGCACAGGAGAGCUUGCUCUCUGGGUGGCGAGUGGCGGACGGGUGAGGAAUACAUCGGAAUCUACUCUGUCGUGGGGGAUAACGUAGGGAAACUUACGCUAAUACCGCAUACGACCUACGGGUGAAAGCAGGGGACCUUCGGGCCUUGCGCGAUUGAAUGAGCCGAUGUCGGAUUAGCUAGUUGGCGGGGUAAAGGCCCACCAAGGCGACGAUCCGUAGCUGGUCUGAGAGGAUGAUCAGCCACACUGGAACUGAGACACGGUCCAGACUCCUACGGGAGGCAGCAGUGGGGAAUAUUGGACAAUGGGCGCAAGCCUGAUCCAGCCAUACCGCGUGGGUGAAGAAGGCCUUCGGGUUGUAAAGCCCUUUUGUUGGGAAAGAAAUCCAGCCGGCUAAUACCCGGUUGGGAUGACGGUACCCAAAGAAUAAGCACCGGCUAACUUCGUGCCAGCAGCCGCGGUAAUACGAAGGGUGCAAGCGUUACUCGGAAUUACUGGGCGUAAAGCGUGCGUAGGUGGUCGUUUAAGUCCGUUGUGAAAGCCCUGGGCUCAACCUGGGAACUGCAGUGGAUACUGGGCGACUAGAAUGUGGUAGAGGGUAGCGGAAUUCCUGGUGUAGCAGUGAAAUGCGUAGAGAUCAGGAGGAACAUCCAUGGCGAAGGCAGCUACCUGGACCAACAUUGACACUGAGGCACGAAAGCGUGGGGAGCAAACAGGAUUAGAUACCC
rnacentral:rRNA from 1 species